rnacentral:rRNA from 1 species
UACGUAGGGGGCUAGCGUUGUCCGGAAUCAUUGGGCGUAAAGCGCGCGUAGGCGGCCCGGUAAGUCCGCUCUGGAAGUCCAGGGCUCAACCCUGGAAAGCGGGUGGAUACUGCCGGGCUAGAAUCCGGAAGAGGCGAGUGGAAUUCCUGGUGUAGCGGUGGAAUGCGCAGAUAUCAGGAGGAACACCAAUAGCGAAGGCAGCUCGCUGGGACGGUAUUGACGCUGAGGCGCGAAAGCGUGGGGAGCAAACAGG